GCCUUCGUGGUGUAGUUGUAGCACGCUCGACUGAUAUUCGAGAGGUCUGUGGUUCCAUUCCCGGCGAGGCCA
rnacentral:tRNA from 1 species